AUUCAACCUUUAAGAUGCAAUGACAAGGAAUUUGCUGUAAUAGAUAUCAACACAUAGAUCAUAAAGACAAAAGUAUGAAAACUGUUGAACUGGGCAGACUUGCUUUGUGGCUGGUUGAAUAAAGGCCAUUUCGGGUUAAAGAGAACACACUGGAAAACCAUAGGAAGAACAGCUGCGGAGAGGCGGAGGCGUGUGUUGUCUGGAGAAGCCUAGCUCUUCAUCCCUCCAAUCCAGGACAAGACACUUGGUAAACAGUUCAACCCCACACAUGAAAACAUCAGUUGUUUUGUUUCUAACAACCAGCCGAAGUUUGCCCUGGAAGAGUAAGUUUGGACAGAACAGGAG